rnacentral:misc_RNA from 1 species
GAUGGUUUCAGUUACGCUAGCUACUAGGCCAUGGGGUUCGACCCUAGCGAGGUUAGGUUGAACUCACUAGCCAACAGGGUGCUCAGAUGUUUUGGACCCGGUGAGUUUUAUGUUGCGAUCACGUGCCAUUGUAGCGGGGUCCAGGGUUGGGCCGUGUAGUGCGGGGACGUGGAUGGGUGCUGGUGUCGGAUGGUGGUGACGCAGGAGCUAGAAAGUGGUAGUGGCUGUGUGGUAUAUAGGAGUUAUGAUAAGAAAGAGAAAGGGCAUGUAGUAGUGGCAAGUCCUGCUAAGGUGUCUAUGCAGUGCUGGAAGGAGGUGGCGGAAGAGAAGGAGGAUGUGGUGGUUGGUGGUGGUGGAGUGGUGGUUUGUCCGUAAUUGAGUCCAGGCAAGAGUGAGUGUCAGUUUUUAUGCAGUCAGAUUGAUGGGAUUGUCGUUUACUUAUAGGAAGAGUUCAAAAUUGUUAAGGUUUGGUUCGUUUGUUUGCUUGUUUUUAAAAUAAUGGACUAUUUG